rnacentral:rRNA from 1 species
UACGUAGGGGGCUAGCGUUGUCCGGAAUCAUUGGGCGUAAAGCGCGUGUAGGCGGUUCAGUAAGUCUGCUGUGAAAGUCCAGGGCUCAACCCUGGGAUGCCGGUGGAUACUGCUGGGCUAGAGUCCGGAAGAGGAGAGUGGAAUUCCUGGUGUAGCGGUGAAAUGCGCAGAUAUCAGGAAGAACACCUAUGGCGAAGGCAGCUCUCUGGGACGGUACUGACGCUGAGACGCGAAAGCGUGGGGAGCGAACAGG